GAUGAACGCUGGCGGCGUGCCUAAUACAUGCAAGUCGAGCGAACAGAUGAGGAGCUUGCUCCUCUGACGUUAGCGGCGGACGGGUGAGUAACACUUGGAUAACCUACCUAUAAGACUGGGAUAACUUCGGGAAACCGGAGCUAAUACCGGAUAAUAUAUUGAACCGCAUGGUUCAAUAGUGAAAGACGGUUUUGCUGUCACUUAUAGAUGGAUCCGCGCCGCAUUAGCUAGUUGGUAAGGUAACGGCUUACCAAGGCAACGAUGCGUAGCCGACCUGAGAGGGUGAUCGGCCACACUGGAACUGAGACACGGUCCAGACUCCUACGGGAGGCAGCAGUAGGGAAUCUUCCGCAAUGGGCGAAAGCCUGACGGAGCAACGCCGCGUGAGUGAUGAAGGUCUUCGGAUCGUAAAACUCUGUUAUUAGGGAAGAACAAAUGUGUAAGUAACUAUGCACGUCUUGACGGUACCUAAUCAGAAAGCCACGGCUAACUACGUG
rnacentral:rRNA from 1 species